rnacentral:rRNA from 1 species
AGAGUUUGAUCCUGGCUCAGGAUGAACGCUAGCGACAGGCUUAACACAUGCAAGUCGAGGGGCAGCGAGGGAGUGGCAACACUUCUGUCGGCGACCGGCGCACGGGUGAGUAACGCGUAUGCAACCUGCCCUUCACAGGGGGAUAACCGGGAGAAAUUCCGACUAAUACCGCAUACGUCCUCCGGGGGCAUCCCCGGAGGAUGAAAGAUUUAUCGGUGAAGGAUGGGCAUGCGUGAUAUUAGGUAGUUGGCGGGGCAACGGCCCACCAAGCCUACGAUAUCUAGGGGUUCUGAGAGGAAGGUCCCCCACAUUGGUACUGAGACACGGACCAAACUCCUACGGGAGGCAGCAGUGAGGAAUAUUGGUCAAUGGACGAGAGUCUGAACCAGCCAAGUCGCGUGAAGGAAGACGGAUCUAUGGUUUGUAAACUUCUUUAGUGCGGGAACAAAGCGGCGUCGUGACGCCGGAUGAGUGUACCGCAAGAAUAAGCAUCGGCUAACUCCGUGCCAGCAGCCGCGGUAAUACGGAGGAUGCGAGCGUUAUCCGGAUUUAUUGGGUUUAAAGGGAGCGCAGACGGGUCGUUAAGUCAGCUGUGAAAGUUUGGGGCUCAACCUUAAAAUUGCAGUUGAUACUGGCGUCCUUGAGUGCGGUUGAGGUGUGCGGAAUUCGUGGUGUAGCGGUGAAAUGCUUAGAUAUCACGAAGAACUCCGAUUGCGAAGGCAGCACACUAAUCCGUAACUGACGUUCAUGCUCGAAAGUGUGGGUAUCAAACAGGAUUAGAUACCCUGGUAGUCCACACGGUAAACGAUGGAUACUCGCUGUUGGCGAUAUACUGUCAGCGGCUUAGCGAAAGCGUUAAGUAUCCCACCUGGGGAGUACGCCGGCAACGGUGAAACUCAAAGGAAUUGACGGGGGCCCGCACAAGCGGAGGAACAUGU